GCCAACAUGGCAUAGUGGUUUGAGUGCUGGACUACAACUCUGGAGAUCAAGGUUCAAUUCCCAGCUCAGCCA
rnacentral:tRNA from 1 species